AUCAUUUAAAGAAAGCGUAAUAGCUCACUGGUCGAGUCGGCCUGCGCGGAAGAUGUAACGGGGCUAAACCAUGCACCGAAGCUGCGGCAGCGACACUCAGGUGUUGUUGGGUAGGGGAGCGUUCUGUAAGCCUGCGAAGGUGGCCUGUGAGGGUUGCUGGAGGUAUCAGAAGUGCGAAUGCUGACAUAAGUAACGAUAAAGCGGGUGAAAAGCCCGCUCGCCGGAAGACCAAGGGUUCCUGUCCAACGUUAAUCGGGGCAGGGUGAGUCGACCCCUAAGGCGAGGCCGAAAGGCGUAGUCGAUGGGAAACGGGUUAAUAUUCCCGUACUUGGUGUUACUGCGAAGGGGGGACGGAGAAGGCUAUGUUGGCCGGGCGACGGUUGUCCCGGUUUAAGCGUGUAGGUGUGUGUUCCAGGUAAAUCCGGUUCACUUUAACACUGAGGCGUGACGACGAGGCACUACGGUGCUGAAGCAACAAAUGCCCUGCUUCCAGGAAAAGCCUCUAAGCAUCAGGUAACAUCAAAUCGUACCCCAAACCGACACAGGUGGUCAGGUAGAGAAUACCAAGGCGCUUGAGAGAACUCGGGUGAAGGAACUAGGCAAAAUGGUGCCGUAACUUCGGGAGAAGGCACGCUGACAUGUAGGUGAAGUGAUUUACUCAUGGAGCUGAAGUCAGUCGAAGAUACCAGCUGGCUGCAACUGUUUAUUAAAAACACAGCACUGUGCAAACACGAAAGUGGACGUAUACGGUGUGA
rnacentral:rRNA from 1 species